rnacentral:tRNA from 1 species
UGGGAGUAAAUAAAGUUUUAGUUGGUUUUGAUUUCUGCAGUAGUUUUGUAGCAAAGAGAGAGUUUUUAAUUGAUUUGUGCAAUGGCUUUGGUUUGUUGGAGCUGCACCAUUUGUUGAUGUUGGUGGCCUUCAUCCUCUUGAAGGGUUAUUUGCAUGUGUGGUGGUGAGCAUCUCAGGUUGUUGAGUUAGGCUUUUUUGGUAGUUGCUAUAAGAGACUGAGAGGCCAUUAGCUAUACCCUUACCUCCUUCGGUGGCUAUCGAUUAUGAUAGUGUUUGAUGUGUCCUAAAUUCCAACGACCAGUUGGGUUAAUGUUUAUAGGUGGUGGUUUUUUGGUUUGCAAGCAAGUUUCUUAUUUGAUUAGAAAACUUUCCUUCUUCGGCCUUCUAGUGUUCUGCUUCAACUCCAGCUGCGAUAAGACUCGGCAAUGCUUUUAGGCCUCUUGGUGGUUUCGACUUCGUUCUUCUUGGGGUUUGAUUUAUGAGUUUCAAUUUCUCGUAUGUGUUGGGCUCAAACUUCAUUGCCUUUCUGUUGGUAUUGUUGGACUUGAUGUACUUCUAUCCUUUAGCCCUUGUUAAUGCAAUGAUGCAAUUAAAAAAAAAAAGGUUUGCAUAAUUAUCUUAAAGCCCAGAAAUCUUUUGUAUGAAAACUGGUCAAUUUCAAGAAACCCAACCCAAUGUCAAAGCGGUGUCGCUUUCUGCUGUUGGUUGGCGGGCUAUCGAUCAUUGGUCAUCACCUUCUGUCCCAAAAUCUACACUUCUGAAAUGAUCAAUCGCAAUUAAAAUCGAUACGCCAGCUCGAAUAUUUGAUUUUAGGAUUCAUUCCGAUCAACAGGCAAUAUCCCCCGAAGGCUUUGAGAUUUUAUUCAUUUUCUAUCAAAUCUUCUAUUCAAAUUGUCUACAAGGACUUUAAGAGAGGCGUUGUAUCUGUUCGAGAAAUAUUCCAUUAUGAAGUUAUUAGAAUACAAUACUCUUGAAAGCAUAAAUGAGUUCUUAAGCAAUUUAAAUCUUGGAGAACGGACAAUCAAGGGAUGCCUUGAAGCUUACUCUUGUAAACACACUGGAACAGACAAAAAGCUUUCUCUCAGUUUAGAGCACGAGGUAAUAUAAUAUAAUAUAAUAUUUGCUUACUUUUAUCCAAAUCUUCGCUAGAAAUAAAUGCAAAUAGAAAAAAAAAAUGUUUCUGAUUUUAGACUGAUUCGUCUUCAAUUGUCAUGCUAAGGAUUCCUUUGUUUUCCUAAGAAUUGUAUUCUUCACUGUAGACAGAAAACUGUAAAACUACUUUUUUUUUCUUAUGUUUUUAGUAUGGUUUACCAUCUUUUUCUAUUUGUUGAUAUUUGAUCUCUUAUAUCUACAAUCUUAAUAUUUUUUUUGGUGGGCUGUGAGGGUGGAAAUGAUUGGCUUUGGUAAUCAUUUUUUUCUGCAGAUCCUUGACUAUCUUGGGAAAUCUUCAGACGCUGACUCAUCCUCGCCAGCUGAAUACUUGUUAAGCAGAUCCAGGUGGUUACUGAUUGCCUUGUUGCCUAGAUGGGUUUGGCAAAUGUUUAAUUGUUUGUGAUAUUUCUUUGACUGGUUUUCCCUUAUGCUCAUUCCAGCCGAAAGACAUUGAUUUAUCUUGUUCUUACACUCUAUCACAUGUAUCCAGAUUAUGACUUCAGCUUCAUGGGCGACCUGGCAUCCCGCUAUAUAAUCCUCUUUUAACUGCUAUGGGAGUGUUGUCAAAAGGUUUGACAGACGGUUCACAGAACUGUUGCUCUAGGAGGAGCUGAGAGUUCAAGUCUCUCCAUUUCCCAAAUCUAAUCUUGGCCAUUAAUGUGGUUUGCCUUUUUUUUCGAUAAAGAUGUAUUUUAUUUUAUUUUUUGUUGGUUUUGCUUUCAGUUCAUUUCAGAUUUGUACUGUACAGGAAUUAUUACAUGGAUGGCUUAAUGUAUAUUUGCUGUUGUGCUUUCCUUAUAUUAUGAUAUUGCUGUAUAUCUGUGCGAGUUUCAGUGCUAUGAAAGCUCACCAGUUCUUCACAGAGGAAAGCUGGGACACUUUUAAGCAGAUUUUCGACACAUACAUGUUUGAAGCAUCAAAGGUAUUUGACUAAUUGUUUUUCAUUCAUGACAAUAGAGCAAUGCAUGUUACAUCAAAAUUGAACACCCACCCCUCCCCUCCCCAAAAAAGGGAUUAGGGUGGUGAUGUUAUAUUAUGAUUUUUCUUUUGGCCAAUUGCAUUUUUUCUUGGCUAGUGAAAGAAAUUGACUAAUUGCAUUUGCAUUUUAUUGUAUUAUUCAGAUCAAGUCCACUAUUGGUGCAUCUGUAAAAUACUUGUCCUCAGUAACCACCAUUUUUCUCCAUUUUUUAAAAUCUAUAUUCUAUAUCUAUCUCAUUUAUUAUCAUUACUUGUCACCGGUUAUCAGGAUUGUUGUGCGAUUUUCUUUACAUAGAGCAGUGCGCUUAUCUGAACUAUAGCAUUCUGGUCGAUUCUUGCGUGAAUUGAUGAUUGGAGUGGAAAACCUAGUUUGACCAUUUUGACGUGGUAACUAGUGUUUAGGUGGGUUGUCGCAUGAGUUGUAAAGAAAUGAUUGCUAGUGUUUCUAUAUAUUAUUUUUGAGAGAGAUGUGUUGCAGAAUCAUUUGGUUUACUUAUCUUUUGUUGGGAUAGUAAGCCUAAAUGAGUGGCUUUGUCAUGUCUGUUACUGUCACCUUCAUUUUUUUUUCCCUAUUGAUUGUAGGAAUGGAUCAAGGAAAAUGAAGGUGGUUCCUUGGUGGAAACCUUAUUCAAGGCUCUGGAUGAGGUUGUGAAAAUAGCAGAAUGUGAAAUCUACAGCUAUAAUCCAGAUUCUGAUGCAGAUCCAUUUCUAGAGAAAGGAGCAAUCUGGUCUUUCAGUUUCUUUUUUUACAAUAGGAAACUAAAGCGCGUUGUGAGCUUCCGCUUCUGCUGCCUAAGUAACUUGGUGGUGGAUGGAUAUCUUGUGGACAAUUCUAGUUAUGAGGAAGAUGGGGAAAUAUUUGAUGACAUGGACAUGUGAGUGCUGAUAGUGAUGGACUAUUAGCAUGAUGUUCAUAUGUGAAGACCAAUAACAAUGAUCUGUAGUUAUGCUUCUGUCAGUGCCCCUACCCGUGGCACCUAAGUGGUAGGAUUAGCUUUUUUGCUUCUCAAUGCAUGUAGUUACUCUUCUCUUGUUGUAAAGAAAAAUGCUUCUAAAAAUAUAUGUGAAAUCUAGCGGUAGUCUUGUGAUAAGAUGCGAGGAUUCAAGUUUCUACAAGACACUUAUUUCUCCCUAUCUUCUAAAAUAGUGCCAUUUGUUGAUUUUGUAUGUACAUAUGGAACUGCAUUUGGCUCAUAUUUCCAAUAAUGGAAGAUAACAUUCGUG